rnacentral:miRNA from 1 species
UUACAUGUAUCGGGUAGGAG